rnacentral:rRNA from 1 species
UACGGAGGAUGCAAGCGUUAUCCGGAUUUAUUGGGUUUAAAGGGUGCGUAGGCGGGAUAGUAAGUCAGUGGUGAAAUCUUUCGGCUUAACCGGGAAACUGCCAUUGAUACUGCUUUUCUUGAGUACAGUUGAGGUAGGCGGAAUGUGUAAUGUAGCGGUGAAAUGCUUAGAUAUUACACAGAACACCUAUUGCGUAGGCAGCUUACUAGACUGUUACUGACGCUGAGGCACGAAAGCGUGGGGAGCGAACAGGAUUAGAUACCCCCGUA